CAAUAGCGUAUGUUAAAGUUGUUGCAGUUAAAAAGCUCGUAGUUGAAUUUUUGCUUGCCGCCGAUGUCGGAACUUCCGUACGUUCGGCGGCGUGCAUCCUUGGGUGGAACCUGUGUGGCAUUAGGUUGUCGUGCAGGGGAUGCUCAUCGUUUACUGUGAAAAAAUUAGAGUGUUCAAAGCAGGCUUACGCCGUUGAAUAUAUUAGCAUGGAAUAAUAAGAUAGGACCUUGGUACUAUUUUGUUGGUUUGCGCACCGAGGUAAUGAUUAACAGGGACAGUUGGGGGUAUUCGUAUUCCAUUGUCAGAGGUGAAAUUCUUGGAUUUCUGGAAGACGAACUACUGCGAAAGCAUUUACCAAGGAUGUUUUCAUUA
rnacentral:rRNA from 1 species